rnacentral:rRNA from 1 species
UACAUAGGGUGCAAGCGUUGUCCGGAAUUAUUGGGCGUAAAGAGCUCGUAGGUGGUUUGUUACGUCGGUUGUGAAAUUCAGGGGCUCAACCCCUGACUUGCAGCCGAUACGGGCAAGCUAGAGUUUGGUAGGGGAGACUGGAAUUCCUGGUGUAGCGGUGGAAUGCGCAGAUAUCAGGAGGAACACCGAUGGCGAAGGCAGGUCUCUGGGCCAAUACUGACACUGAGGAGCGAAAGCGUGGGGAGCGAACAGGAUUAGAUACCCUGGUAGUCCACGCCGUAAACGGUGGGCGCUAGUUGUGCGAACCUUCCACGGUUUGUGCGACGCAGCUAACGCAUUAAGCGCCCCGCCUGGGGAGUACGAUCGCAAGAUUAAAACUCAAAGGAAUUGACGGGGCCCCGCACAAGCAGCGGAGCAUGCGGCUUAAUUCGACGCAACGCGAAGAACCUUACCAAGGCUUGACAUAUACAGGAAUAUGGCAGAGAUGUCAUAGCCGCAAGGUCUGUAUACAGGUGGUGCAUGGUUGUCGUCAGCUCGUGUCGUGAGAUGUUGGGUUAAGUCCCGCAACGAG